CUCAAAACACAUUACUCUCUCAAGGCCAUGUCCUUGGGCAGCUGCUAGUGCAGGGAGUGCAAGAGCACACAUGCCAAGGGCAGGAGAGGGGAUGAAGAGACUGAUUUUCUGAGUCCAAUGCGUGGGUCAGCUGGCAGUCUUGUCCUAUUGGUUACCUCCCUGACAGGAGGAUGGGGGUAUAUCACUUUCUAUUUAAAUAUAUUGUUUUCAGAUGUUCUUUAUAAUUCAUACAUGUACAUAACAUAAUUCAUAAAUGUACUUUUUUUAUGAAAAGUGAUCGUUUUUCAAAAGUGAUUUGAUGUACGAAAUAAGAAAUUUUCAUCUUUGUCACCUUUCAUGGCAUUUUAUUAUUUUUACUAUUCCUACCAUGAUGAUAAAAUAUUUCUUUCUUUUUCUUUUUCUUUUUUUUUUUUUUUUUGUCUUUUUGUCCUUUCAGGGCCGUACCCGUGGCAUAUGGAUGUUCCCAGGCUAGGGGUCUAAACAGAGCUGUUGCUGCUGGCCUUCACCAGAGCCAUAGCAACGCCAGAUCUGAGCCACAUCUGUGACCUACACCACAGCUCCCGGCAACGCCAGAUCCUUAACCCACUGAGCGAGGCCAGGGAUCGAACCCGCAACCUCAUGGCUCCUAGUCAGAUUCAUUUCCGCUGCUCCAUGGUGGGAACUCCACAAAAUAUUUCUGAUAAACCAAUAUGGAUAGAUAGAUAGAUAGAUAGAUAGAUAGAUAGAUAGAUAGACAGACAGACAGAUAGAUUAGAAUAAGAAUUACAAACUGUUAGAGCCAUAAUGGAGUAAAAAGAAUACAAAUGAGUAGUCUUUAACUGAUUUUGAUAAUAAAAAAUGCUAGAAGUAUAAUUUAUGCAUAUACUUACUAGGAUUUCAUUUCACAGAGAAAACUUGUUAUGAAAGACUGUAUACAGUUCCGAAGGAAAAAGUCAGUUCUUUGUUGAGUUGUUUAAACAAAAUUUAUGGGUUUUGUCAAAUGCUCAUACCAUACAUGCUUAGAAAGGGAAUUCCUAAUCAUAAUAAAAAUAACAAACUAUAAAAUACAUGAAAUUGUAUUUCAUCUGCUUUGCCAUUAUCAAGGAUGCUUAAUUCACACUUCGUUCAAAUCCUAGCAGAAAGAAAAUUGUCCUGGAAUUCACCAGCAAACCUUCAAGGCUGUGGUGAUACAACUGUGAAACCUAACAACUCAGAGGGAGAUUAAAGGUUCCACUCCUUAAAACACAGCAAGACUGUCACCUAUCAAAGGCUGCACCUUUGGAGUCCUUGUAAUAAAAGUCUGAGGAGUAAUCUAAUGUGCCAUUAACAUCAAAGUACCUGCCAGCCUGCAAUAUUGGUUUUGCUUUAAACACGUUGAGUACUAACCAUCGGGCUUGCUUCCAGAUUUCUAGUUGUUUCUGGGGUAAGCAAUGAAACUUUAUCAUAGAAACUUAGCUCUUUGAAAAUAGGCUUGCAUAUAAGCAGCUUAUGGAGAAAACUGUUUCCUGCAACAUAACGCUUUCUUUUCUAAAACAUGUUUAAUUCACAUUGAGCAUCAAAGGCAUUUGUUUGUUUUGCAAAAUUCCUAGGAGUACAUAUGAUUCAACAGAGUAAAUGUAAAUCUAAAAAUCCAAAACAGAAUAACCUAGAUUCCUCAAUUGUAUCUAAGACCCUCUGCUAUUACAGAUAGCAGCUGUUUAUUUCUAGAGUUCAUUAGAUCCUUAUCCAUCAUUAGCCAUUAUAGAUAAUGCCACAUAUUGAUUGCUGAGUGGCAUCAGGGAGUGUUUUUCUGCAUAACAUUAAAGAACACCCCGUAAGGGUUGAUCAUAGGUCUUCUGUAUUGGGGAAUGACAGCAUUCCAAAAACAGUUCUCCCCAUCUUACCUUGAAACCCAUUGUCUCCUCUUAUCCAGCUGCCAAUUAUUUAUUUCGUUUUCCUCCUUGACGCUCACAUGGUCACUGACUGAAUACCAUGAGCAGGGGACUGCUCUUGAACGCUUCUUUUCAUUAGAUUAGCGUAGCCAAUAGGCGGGCGCUCUUCUAAAUUUCGUACAUGUUUUUCUUCAUUUGUUCAUACCACAGCCCCCUGAAGUAGGUGUAAUUUUUCUUAUUCUGUCUUAUUGCCUUUCUUUCCAAAUCUGACCACAGUCAAAGCAGGUGGUGAUACAGUUUAUGUUGCUUCUGUUAAUUUAUUUGAGAAGAAAGUUCUUGAGCCCAUUUGUGAGUUUUGUCUUAGACAAGCACUAAAAAAAGAAUGGAUGUUGAACUAUUGUUUUGUUAAGUGAACAUGUAGAAUUCUUAACUUUACCUUUUUCCACAAAGACAAAUAUUCAGAGAAGUGGGAUGACCUAGUUGAAACUGGCAAAAUGUAGCAAGUCAUGUACCCUCUUUAAGCUUUAAUUUCCUAACCUCUUAAAACAUUAAUAUUUGUUAGAAGGUCUUAUUUGGGAUUCAAUAAUGUAACUGAUGUGCAUAUUCACUGUUUUAGUGGAAAAACUAAAAUUUCCCACAUAAAUGCAAAAGAGUAUAAAUAUAAUGCUACUAAAAUGAAAAGGAGAAAUUCUACAGUUUAUAUGAAUUGGGAGAAUCUAAUAUUUCAAAUAAGAAAUAUAUAAAUGGCCUUUUAAUCAUAUAUCACAAUUUCAGAAGUCAAAUAUAUAGAUUCUGAGGUUUUCCAGUUAGGAUCUAAGUUACAUAAAGCAUUAUUUACUAGCAUUUAGAUUAUGGUCAUUCUAGGACACGUGAUUUCCAGAACUAGAUUCUUCUUUGACUAAUUAAAAUGCAGCUUCACAACAACCCAGUUACCUUCUAAAUGUUACAUAUGUAAUUAGAUAAGAUGUCUAGAAAGACAAAUGUAACUCAUCAGUUAGGUACACAUUUAUAAUAACAAAGCAGGAGUUUCACAUACACUCCGAAUAUGUAAGAAUUCACAUACAAAAAAAAAAAUCAAAAUAUGUUUAAUGGGUCUUGCCUAUCAAAAAGUUAUCUCUUUUAGCCUAAAAAGUGUUUGGAGCCAGAAACAUUCUCUUUUCAAUUAUGUGGAAAAAUAUCAUCUUUGUUACUUAUUAAGCAAGCAAUUUUCUGAAAAUGGUUGUUUUAGAAAGUUUCUGUUAUUGGGGAAAAUCUGAUUUAUAAUCAUCAUAGAUUUCUAGCACCUUAUAUCUUAUUACCAGAAACAUCAAGGAUGGGAAAACUUGAGGCAUAAAUUUUCAAUAGUGUUUUAUUUUGAUUUGAACGGGCUCUUCUACCACCUCAACUGUGGUAGAGACCCAUUAUUGCUAAUGAUUGUGUUGACCCUGAGAAAAUGCAGUGAGGGAGGGAUGACCUGUUCAUAAUGUAAUGGAAAUUACUUUUCCUGUUUGGUACAUAAAUUAGGAAGACAGUAAGAAAAAGAAACCCUUUGAAGUAGAUAGUCGUCUGUUAAAGGUCAAAUUUCCCAGAGCCGUCUUUGCUGCAAAUUGGGAAAAGAAAUCCUUCAAAAUCCUUUGAAUGAUCCUGUGGAUAGCAAAGGUGAAAUUCCUUUUGUGUUGCUCAGAAUGUUUUUUCUUUUGGAGUGUUCCCUAACAAACACAUGAAAGUGCAAUGUAUUGUGUUGUCAAAUCUUUUCCUGACCAAAAUAGCAAUAUAUUGGCAUCGCUGGCUUCUCCUUUGUGACAAAUUCUGACUUUCUAUUACAUAAUUAAAUCAACUGACGUUGGAUAUAGUUUAUUUUCUCCCAAAGAUAACUAGUUCAUCUGAAAUUCACUUACACCAGCUUUGUAAUUUAAGUACAGCAAUGCCUUUGUGUUAGAGGAUGGAAGAAAUUGAAAAGGUCAAAACCUAUUUGACUUCCUUUAAAUGUUUGAUAGCUUGUUUACUUAAAUUCAUUCUAUUCAAAAUGCCAAGACAUCUGCCCUUUUCGUGUAGUUUGUGGGGCUCUUCAUUAUUUUUUUCUGACAUCCAAUCAUUUCAAAACGUUAAACAUUUCCUGGUACAUCUAUAUGUUUAUAAAAGUCAAUUAAGAAGCAGUUCCUACCUUCAAAGGGCACACAGUCUGAUACAUGUAAACAACUACUUAAAACAUGUCAUAGACACCAUUUUUAGUGUCUUUUCAUUCAUUCAAUACAUAUUUAUAAACACCUAUUAUAUGCUAAGCAUUGUUCUAGGGUUUAGACUCAUAUCAAUAAAUACGACCUGCAAAAAAUUCCUCAUGAGGAACUUUUAAUCUAAUGAGUAACAAUUUAAAUACUUUGCAUUCCCAUUAGUUAAAUUAACAUCUUCUCUUCCCAUGGGAACUUUCCAGGGCAUGGAUGGACAGAUGGAAGUCAAGAAAUAUUCUUUUCUCUCUUUAAUAAGGAAAAGAUUUUGUAUUGCUCAUCUUGAAAACAUUUCUACACAGUCAUUUUAUGCUUUAUUUUAAACUGUGCUUUCUUGCAAAUUGUAUAUAAGCUGAUAGUUGGCUUAUAGAAGUAAAGUCUAAUACUAUUUCCUACUGUGUAAACUAAAUGGCCCUUCCCCACUUUCACCAUGAAGCGUUUCCUGAAUGUUCCUGAUAGAAAUCUACUCCACUCUACCUUGGAAAAAUGUUAACUCUUUUUGAAAAUUUCUUUUAUGAUGCUUAUUUUAUUUUUACUUGUGCAGUAGACCUUUCCAUCCCCAGUUUC
rnacentral:lncRNA from 1 species